rfam:Lactobacillus fermentum CECT 5716, complete genome.
AAGAAAAAGUAGAAGCACCCGCUUCUCGCCUAGGUGAUUGGAGUCGCCGGGCUGACGAGAUUAAAUCCGAAUGACCAUUAGGGUUAGUUCGCUUUGCGGGGGUGUGUGUGCACUCCCGUUUUUUCUUGCUUAA